GCCACCUUAAAAACCUGCAGUUGGUAACAGGACAUGAUGUCAUCAGUAAAUAGGAAGUAAGUCUGUGAAUUAAGGAGAAGGCAUGUGCAGCAUGGUGACCUUAGCCAGAUAAAUCCAGUGGCAUCCACAUACAUCCUAUGUCUUUGGUAGCAUUGUGGUUUCACCUUUCCCUGUGUCAAUAAACCUGUGAACCGGGAAUCGUGUCGUCAGAGUCUUGAUGUGGGGAAGGAGUUUAGCUGACUGCCCAUCCCUAGCAGAGGCAGUACAGUUACAGAUACAAAAGACGUCACUGGUGCUUUAGCUCACCUAGUAAGACGUUGGACUCCCGUGCAGAAGUCCUGGGUUUGAUUCUGGAUGUGAACAUAGUUUAUUUAGAGUUUAUGUUUUACAUUAAUGGUAUUUUUUUACAGUAAGAUGCCCACAUUUUUAUUUGAGACUCGCCGAACGGCAUUGAAUUCACAGAUAAAAAAGAUGUGGGUUCUACUUUCAUUUUGGAACAAUUUUUCAAGCAAGGAAAGGGAAUGAUCUGAGCAUGCAGGAGGACUGACCCAUCAUAAACCUUUGUUGGCUGUGCUGGGGAGAAAGGUACAGAACAUAAUGAUUUAAUUAAUUAGCUGUGAGUUCUCCUGUCCUCUGUCCUCCGGGCCACACACACACACACACACACACACACACACACACACACACACACACACACACACACACACACACACACACACACACACACACACA